rnacentral:rRNA from 1 species
GACGAACGCUGGCGGCGUGCCUAAUACAUGCAAGUAGAACGCUGAAGAGAGGAGCUUGCUCUUCUUGGAUGAGUUGCGAACGGGUGAGUAACGCGUAGGUAACCUGCCUUGUAGCGGGGGAUAACUAUUGGAAACGAUCGCUAAUACCGCAUAACAAUGAAUGACACAUGUCAUUUAUUUGAAAGGGGCAAUUGCUUCACUACAAGAUGGACCUGGGUUGUAUUAGCUAGUAGGUGAGGUAACGGCUCACCUAGGCGACGAUACAUAGCCGACCUGAGAGGGUGAUCGGCCACACUGGGACUGAGACACGGCCCAGACUCCUACGGGAGGCAGCAGUAGGGAAUCUUCGGCAAUGGGGGCAACCCUGACCGAGCAACGCCGCGUGAGUGAAGAAGGUUUUCGGAUCGUAAAGCUCUGUUGUAAGUCAAGAACGAGUGUGAGAGUGGAAAGUUCACACUGUGACGGUAGCUUACCAGAAAGGGACGGCUAACUACGUGCCAGCAGCCGCGGUAAAAC